rnacentral:rRNA from 1 species
UACAGAGGUCUCAAGCGUUGUUCGGAUUCAUUGGGCGUAAAGGGUGCGUAGGCGGCGCGGUAAGUCGGGUGUGAAAUCUUGGAGCUUAACUCCGAAACUGCAUUCGAUACUGCCGUGCUUGAGGACUGGAGAGGAGACUGGAAUUUACGGUGUAGCGGUGAAAUGCGUAGAUAUCGUGAGGAAGACCAGUGGCGAAGGCGGAUCUCUGGACAGUUCCUGACGCUGAUGCGCGAAGGCCAGGGGAGCAAACGGG